AUGCAUAGUCACCUAGAACCAGAUGCCAUUUUCCAAACUGUUUUGCUCAACAGGGAAAGUAAGCUUAUUGUAGCAAGUUGUGUUGAUGCCACAAGAUGCCACCCUUCCCUUGAAAAGAAGAGACUAAAGGUCUUGUAUCUUGUUCUACCCACCCAGAGCUUCUCUACAUCUAAGUCACCUGGGCUAUUUCUCCUCUUACAGAAAGGGCUUCUUAUUUGCCUUCUUAACUGACAGGAACUGCCUCAAUAACUUGUUACCCUUCUGCCCAGGAGAUAUUUAUCCUCCUCUUCUUCUGUAAGGCGGAAAAAAAAAUAAAAAAGGGAAGAAGAAGCAGUCCAGUGGGGUGCAGUGGCUCCUUCCUGUAAUUCCAGCACUUUGGGAGGAUGAGAUGGGAGGACUGCUUGAGGCCAGGAGUUUGAGACCAGUCUGGACCACAGAUCAAGACCCUGUUGCUGUCGCUACUAAAAAAAAAAGUGAAGGCCUACUGGGAAAGAAACAAUUACCAAGAAGGACACAUCUGCUAGAAGGUAUUUAAACAAUAUUCCCACUGCGUACACAAAUGCAAAUGGCAUUUGAUCAUAACUCUCUCUCUUUCUCUGUCUGCCACACCCUAGCCCCAUGCUUGCUUUAGCACAACAGAUCGUGCCUAUUAUUCACAAAUGAUUUCUCUUACCUUCCUAGGCCUGGCACUUAUUUGGGAGGAUGAACAGAAGUCAUCAGCCCAUGAGAUCUUCAGAGGGUCCAUGACGAUGUUGCACCCUGAGUCACAGGCUAAAUGUCUAGAACAGUCAGAUGCUUGCUGGGAACCCAGAUGAGGUUUCUGUGAGUAGGAUGAAUCACUGCAAUCAGUGAAGCUAGAAGUGUAGGUUUUUGAGGAGGUCUAAUUACAAGAUUUUGAUAUGUUCUGUAACUGCAUACACUGAGGCAGAAAACUAAAUAACCCAACUUAGUAAGAAAAACAAGAGAAAAAAAAUCCAUUUUUAUCUCA
rnacentral:lncRNA from 1 species